GCCGUAGAAAGAAACGACAAGAGAAGAAAACAAAAGACGGCAAAAGAAUAGCAAAAGAAGAAAAAAAAAUUAUUGGAUCCGUGCGUUGAAAGAGAGUGAGCAAUGGUUGUUUGCACGAUAAUGAAGAGACUCGGGAUUAGGUGGAAUUGAGGAUUGUCAAAUUCUUAGAACGAAGCAAAGAAUAAUUCGAGAUUGUUAUUGUCUUCUAGGCGAAGGUUAAAUAAAGUCUUUAAUGUUUAGAUGAUGAAUUGAGAGUUUGUAAUAAUGAGAUUCUUUCUUUAGGUUGAGAUUUAUUUGGAGUUGAGGAAUAUUUAUUUUUAUCAAGUUAAUUGGCUUAGUUGACUUUUGGGAUUAUAGAGAAUAUUUGUUGUUGGUUUUAGUUCAAUGAAGAGAUUUGUUUUAGUGUUCUUUUAA